UUUCCGGUUCCCCGCUCUCUCUCCAUCCAUUUACCCCUCCGAUCUGCGGCCUCGUAGGUAGAUUCGGGUCGUGGGGAUCCCGCUCCUUCUCCUAGGGUUCCGGCCAGAGCUCCAUGCAGCCGUUUCAUUUUGCGGCCUGAUCUCUGAUCUGCGAUGUUAGAAGGACUAUUUAGAUGCUACAGAUGCUCCUGGCGCUAGAUUGUUGUGGUCUCUUGUUGGUGUCCUUAGAAGUUCCAUCUGUUCUUUUUUAUGACUGGUGGUUAGCUAUGAUGGACUAUGCCUGACUCUUUCUAAUUGGUUUAAUACAGGUAUUUUUGUGCCAUAAUUUUUCCUAAUAUCUCCAAUUUGACUUCCGAUAUAAAAUUAUGUGGACCUUCCUGAAUGCUUAUGUGGACGGUUCAGCAAAUGCUCCUGGUAGUUGUUGUUUGGCAGUGCAAAAUUACUCCAAAUGAAGCAACUUGUCAUUGCCAGUUGAUACUGUCUAUCUGCUCAUGUAACUAAUGCUGCCACCAGAGUC